CAGUUGACGGCGCGUUAGCUCCAGACUCUAUGUGUUCGUAUCCUCCUGGGUCUCUGUCUGACUGUGCCAGCCAAGUCCUGUCUCCCCCCUCUGCCUCCCACCUCUCCCCCAGGACAGAGGAGUACAUUCACCAAGCCAAGGCUCACCUGAGGGGAAUGUGCCAGGAGAUGGAGGCGGGCCUUAGCCUGGCGUCCCACUAUGUUGACGUGCGAUUGGUCCAGAGGCAGAUCCUGA